CUUGUCGGGUAAGUUCCGACCUGCACGAAUGGCGUAAUGAUGGCCAGGCUGUCUCCACCCGAGACUCAGUGAAAUUGAACUCGCUGUGAAGAUGCAGUGUACCCGCGGCAAGACGGAAAGACCCCGUGAACCUUUACUAUAGCUUGACACUGAACAUUGAGCCUUGAUGUGUAGGAUAGGUGGGAGGCUUUGAAGCGUGGACGCCAGUCUGCGUGGAGCCAUCCUUGAAAUACCACCCUUUAAUGUUUGAUGUUCUAACUCGGCCCCAUAAUCUGGGGUGAGGACAGUGUCUGGUGGGUAGUUUGACUGGGGCGGUCUCCUCCUAAAGAGUAACGGAGGAGUACGAAGGUGCGCUCAGACCGGUCGGAAAUCGGUCGUA
rnacentral:rRNA from 1 species